UACGUAGGGGGCGAGCGUUGUCCGGAUUCAUUGGGCGUAAAGCGCGCGCAGGCGGCUUCGUAAGUCGGCCGUGAAAUCUCCGGGCUUAACUCGGAACGGCCAAGUGAAACUGUCAAGCUAGAGUGCGGAAGGGGCAAUCGGAAUUCUUGGUGUAGCGGUGAAAUGCGUAGAUAUCAAGAGGAACACCUGAGGUGAAGACGGGUUGCUGGGCCGACACUGACGCUGAUGCGCGAAAGCCAGGGGAGCAAACGGG
rnacentral:rRNA from 1 species